UACGGAGGGAGCUAGCGUUGUUCGGAAUUACUGGGCGUAAAGCGCGCGUAGGCGGCUUUGUAAGUUAGAGGUGAAAGCCCGGAGCUCAACUCCGGAACUGCCUUUAAGACUGCAUCGCUUGAAUCCAGGAGAGGUGAGUGGAAUUCCGAGUGUAGAGGUGAAAUUCGUAGAUAUUCGGAAGAACACCAGUGGCGAAGGCGGCUCACUGGACCGGAACUGACGCUGAGGCGGCGAAAAG
rnacentral:rRNA from 1 species